rnacentral:rRNA from 1 species
AGAGGUCUAGCCUGCCCAGUGACUAAAAUUCAACGGCCGCGGUACCCUGACCGCGCGAAGGUAGCGUAAUCACUUGUUUUUUAAAUAAAGACUAGUAUGAAUGGCAUCACGAGGAUCAAACUGUCUCCUUUACAUAAUCAGUGAAACUAAUCCCCCCGUGAAAAAGCAGGGAUUAAACUACAAGACGAAAAGACCCUAUGGAGCUUCAAAUACAUAACUAUGCCUUCCCCCCGCACUAGUUAUAAAUUUUAGGUUGGGGUGACCGCGGAGAAAAACACAUCCUCCAUAACGAAUAAGUUUACUUUAAACAAAAAGUCACAACUUCAUGUAUCAACAAAUUGACAUGCUGAUCCAAUAAUCUGAUCAACGAACCAAGUUACCCUAGGGAUAACAGCGCAAUCCACUUUAAGAGUUCAUAUCGACAAGUGGGCUUACGACCUCGAUGUUGGAUCAGGGUAUCCCAGUGGUGCAGCCGCUACUAAAG